rnacentral:rRNA from 1 species
UUAAGUGGGAAACGAUGUGGGAAGGCCCAGACAGCCAGGAUGUUGGCUUAGAAGCAGCCAUCAUUUAAAGAAAGCGUAAUAGCUCACUGGUCGAGUCGGCCUGCGCGGAAGAUGUAACGGGGCUAAACCAUGCACCGAAGCUGCGGCAGCGACACUGUGUGUUGUUGGGUAGGGGAGCGUUCUGUAAGCCUGUGAAGGUGUGUCGUGAGGCAUGCUGGAGGUAUCAGAAGUGCGAAUGCUGACAUAAGUAACGAUAAAGCGGGUGAAAAGCCCGCUCGCCGGAAGACCAAGGGUUCCUGUCCAACGUUAAUCGGGGCAGGGUGAGUCGACCCCUAAGGCGAGGCCGAAAGGCGUAGUCGAUGGGAAACGGGUUAAUAUUCCCGUACUUGGUGUUACUGCGAAGGGGGGACGGAGAAGGCUAUGUUGGCCGGGCGACGGUUGUCCCGGUUUAAGCGUGUAGGUGUGUGUUCCAGGUAAAUCCGGUUCACUUUAACACUGAGGCGUGACGACGAGGCACUACGGUGCUGAAGCAACAAAUGCCCUGCUUCCAGGAAAAGCCUCUAAGCAUCAGGUAACAUCAAAUCGUACCCCAAACCGACACAGGUGGUCAGGUAGAGAAUACCAAGGCGCUUGAGAGAACUCGGGUGAAGGAACUAGGCAAAAUGGUGCCGUAACUUCGGGAGAAGGCACGCUGACACGUAGGUGAAGUGAUUUACUCAUGGAGCUGAAGUCAGUCGAAGAUACCAGCUGGCUGCAACUGUUUAUUAAAAACACAGCACUGUGCAAACACGAAAGUGGACGUAUACGGUGUGACGCCUGCCCGGUGCCGGAAGGUUAAUUGAUGGGGUCAGCGCAAGCGAAGCUCCUGAUCGAAGCCCCGGUAAACGGCGGCCGUAACUAUAACGGUCCUAAGGUAGCGAAAUUCCUUGUCGGGUAAGUUCCGACCUGCACGAAUGGCGUAAUGAUGGCCAGGCUGUCUCCACCCGAGACUCAGUGAAAUUGAACUCGCUGUGAAGAUGCAGUGUACCCGCGGCAAGACGGAAAGACCCCGUGAACCUUUACUAUAGCUUGACACUGAACAUUGAGCCUUGAUGUGUAGGAUAGGUGGGAGGCUUUGAAGUGUGGACGCCAGUCUGCAUGGAGCCGACCUUGAAAUACCACCCUUUAAUGUUUGAUGUUCUAACGUGGACCCGUUACCCGGGUUGCGGACAGUGUCUGGUGGGUAGUUUGACUGGGGCGGUCUCCUCCUAAAGAGUAACGGAGGAGCACGAAGGUUGGCUAAUCCUGGUCGGACAUCAGGAGGUUAGUGCAAUGGCAUAAGCCAGCUUGACUGCGAGCGUGACGGCGCGAGCAGGUGCGAAAGCAGGUCAUAGUGAUCCGGUGGUUCUGAAUGGAAGGGCCAUCGCUCAACGGAUAAAAGGUACUCCGGGGAUAACAGGCUGAUACCGCCCAAGAGUUCAUAUCGACGGCGGUGUUUGGCACCUCGAUGUCGGCUCAUCACAUCCUGGGGCUGAAGUAGGUCCCAAGGGUAUGGCUGUUCGCCAUUUAAAGUGGUACGCGAGCUGGGUUUAGAACGUCGUGAGACAGUUCGGUCCCUAUCUGCCGUGGGCGCUGGAGAACUGAGGGGGGCUGCUCCUAGUACGAGAGGACCGGAGUGGACGCAUCACUGGUGUUCGGGUUGUCAUGCCAAUGGCACUGCCCGGUAGCUAAAUGCGGAAGAGAUAAGUGCUGAAAGCAUCUAAGCACGAAACUUGCCCCGAG